rnacentral:lncRNA from 1 species
GCGGCAUAUGGAGGUCCCCAGGCUAGGGGUCCAAUCGGAGCUGGAGCUGCUGGCCUACGCCACAGGCACAGCAACGCGGGAUCCGAGCCGCAUCUGAGACCUACACCACAGUUCACAGCAACGCCGGAUCUUUGACCCACUGAGCAAGGCCAGGGAUCGAACCCACACCCUCAUGGUUCCUAGUCGGAUUCGUUCACCACCGCGCCACGACGGGAACUCCAAGUUCACAUCUUUUAAAGGCACUUGCUAGGGUUGCUAACUUGUAGGCACACACUUCCCAAUCCCCGCCCAGAGCAAUUCCCCACAGGGGUGGAGGACGGUCCAGGAGGCUACUUUAGUGAACUGAGCCGAGUUAAUAUUUGUAAAGCACUAGUAUAGUGCAAAGCACACUGGGAGGCCAUAUGGAGAUAGAAAGUUAAACAAACAAAAUCGAGUUGUUUCAUCCUUACAGCAACCUCGUGGGGCAGGUUAAGGAUACGUUCAUUUCAUAGAAGAGGCCGAGGACUGGAUUAAAUACGCAAAGGCCUGGGCCGCGGCCCAGCUCCUUUACUUACCAGGCAUAUACCUUUCAGCAAAUUAUUUUUCCUGCCUGCGUUUAGCGUCUGCUCUGUCAAAUGGGGUCCAGCACGCUCCGUCUAGGGAGCUAAUGCCUGGGCGUGAGCCCGGAGGCCGGCACCCUGGGAGGCUCGCCCUUGGCUGCGCGGUGGCAUCACCUGCGGACCUUUAACAACUCCAGGUGCCUGGGUCCCAGCCCCGGAAGUGUGACGUCAUCAGUCCGGGUCGCGACCUGGGUAAUGGGCGCCUUUGGAGCUCCCAGGUGAUUCCCCUGUGCGGCCAGGGUCGAGCUCCUCGGAGCCGCCCACACUCGCAAGGGCUUUUUCUUUCUGUAGCCGAAGAAGCAACAGUCAGCCUUUACUGUCCGCCCUGAGCUGUCAGGAAAUGGCCCACUAGGGUCGGGCUGCCAUCAAACCUCCGCCUUAAACUCCAGAGUCCAGUCCGUCUGCUCAGUUAGUUUGGGAAGCCAUCAAUUACCUGCUGUUUUACCCUCCGGUGUGGGUCCCUGGGCAGCGGGGCGCCGGCAUCAGCCUCGCUGGCAGGGCUGCUUUCCAGUGGAGCCUGCUGCUGCUGCUGCUGCUGUUUUUCUAGAAGCCAGAGCAGAUCUUCAGCCCCCUGCUGCCUGUCAGUCAUGGCUGCACCACUGAGGCCGAGGGACCAGACGCCUGGCUGCCCGCCACUGGUGCUGGGUAGCCCAUUUGCUGAGGUGUCUUUGGGGCCAGGCCAGCCUUCCAGCUCGCUGUGAGGGGAUGAAUUUCUCUGAGCAGCCGAAUGCAGCCCAGAAUGAACAUGAGCAUUCAAGGGAACCAGAGCCUUGGUCCGGUUGCCCCAGCGGGACGGAGAAGGCCAGCACCGCCCCGUCUUCCUCCUGCACCGGAUAAAUUGCAAGAGGUAUGUGUUUCUGCGAUUUCACUGAGGUCAGAUACCCCGCGGUGAUUAUGGAGAAAAGUCGUAGUGUGGAGAAGUUUCCAGAGAAUGGAACGCUCAUAUUUAAGGUGGGCAGUGUGUGAACACGAGCUAUGUAAUCUCGUUGAAUCCGAGCGUUCUGGCAACCACGCAAAUGAGAUGUGGUUUUUCUGUAGCUUACAGGUGAGGAAAUUGUGAUUUAGAGGUGAAGCCUCCUUGAGAGGUUACACAACGAGCCAAUGACUCGUCAGCCUGACUUGUCAGCCUGCCUAGCACGUGUUCUUUGUACACUGUUUCUCAGAGUGGGAAGGGAACUUUUUGAUCUAGGAAGGUACUUGUUGUUGGGUUGUUUGCUUCUCCUUAGAGUUAUUGUCAGCAGGGCCCAUCCUUGGCCCAACUGUGAAAAGACCGAAGGUUGCUUUUCUCGUGGUUCAGCUUCCCUGCUGAAAGGUUUUCAGUAACGUUCGUUAGCUGCUGUAACAGAGAAACCUGUACAUCUCAGGGUCCUGACACAGUUGAUGUUGAUUUUUGGCUCACACCCGGUCCAGCUGGUCCUGUGAGGAUGGGAGCUUGGCUCCACCCGGUCGUUUAGGCCCCGGAUUCCUUCCACCUGUGGCUCUGCCCUCCUCUGCGGCUUCCCUGUUGGCCACCAGAUCCUCUGCUUCUGGAAGGCGGGCGGGGGAAGAAGGUGUGAGGGCUCCUGUAGGAGGGUCUGUGGCCCAGCGAAGACAGGGCGCCCACAUUUCUGUGCACAUUUUGUUAGCCAAUACUCAGUCACCUGUCAAGGCCUAAUGCAAGGGAGGCUGGGAAAUGGAUCCAGCUGUGUGCCUCUGCUGGUGAGGACAGGAAAUGGAAUUAGCAAACAUACUGCAAUCCUGGCUAUAGUGCUUAUGCCCCUGAGGUCGCUUCCUCCCCAAGACCACGCCCCUUCCGGCACACCAUCUUGUGCUUCAGGUUCACUUUCCUCUCCUUGACAAGUACCUUCUACCAAGUUUCUGCCCAGGACUCCUGGCCACGGCUUUGCUGAAGGUCUUCCCAAGGCACCUGGGCCACAGGCCACCUUCCGCCAGCCAGCUCUUCAGAGGAGGGAGCCGGUAAUGGAGGUUGCCGACCUUUGGCUUACCUCUUCAUCUGGCUAAUGAUGAUGAAUGUCGGUGUCUCUGAGUCAGAGAGCCCUGGCUGUUUUUCCUGCAGGGUCUCCUCCUCGAUGUGUUUUAUUUUUCCUCGGCUCUGCUAGCUUCAGACCCCAGGGAGAAAAGGAGUUUUACAGUGAUAGACGGUGGGGAUUUUUCACACCUGCCAAUUCUGACAUCCAGAGUCAGCAGGAUCUAUGCUGCCAAGACACAUGAUGUAGAGGCGCUCUAUUAAGACCCAAAAUGUUCCCUUAGUAUUUUCAUGCUCCUCUGUGGUCAAGGACAGCUCUGACAGAAUUUCCUUCAGAAUAAGCAUGGCAAGGAGAGGCUCCAUGUGGAGUGAGAGUUCUUGAGCUGUCUCCCCUCCCUUUCCUGCUGUAACCCCAGGUUGUGUCAGCACACAAACCUUUGUGCCGUCUUCCUGACACUUCAAAGGCACUCGGGCUAACCCAAGCCAAGUUUACCGAGGAAGCUACUUGGAACGGCUCCUAGGAGACCUAUUAGCAUUUUAGCAGAGAAGGCCUCAGUCCCAGAAAGUUGGGUGAGCUCACAAUACCUUGCCAAGAUUGGGAAGCAGUGGGGCAGUUGGUGAGGGGAGCCAGGCCCUCUUACACUGUGACUCGCAUCCCUGUGUAGGAGCUGGCUUGGCCCAGGUGCCUGUUACCAGGGGGUGUAAACAAAGGCCUGAGGCUUUAAGGGAUCAGCUCACCCUGCCUCCCCCUCUCCUAAAUCAAGCCCGCAGAAAUGGCAGCCUCUCCCAGUCAUGCUGACCCUUCCUCUCAGGAUGGGUUCCCUGAAAUCAAGCUCUGACCUGAGGCUUUCAUGGAACUGUGCUGUGUUUAAAGACCAGGAGGAGCAUGGAAGUGGGGCUGGGGAGGGAAGGACGCCCAGUAGGGGUGAAGCAGCCGGCAAAGCCCAUGGAGGGAACUGACUCAAGCCUGGGGCAGUGCUUUGGAAUUUGUGUCUGCAUUAAGGGACAAGAGAUGUUUACACCCUGUACCCAUCAGCACAUUUCCAGCGCACUGUCCCCGGGCAGCUCGUUGUUGAUGAAGAGAGCAGCCCACCAACCGAGACACAGUGAUCGGGUGGGAGAGCCCACCAGGUGCCACGUGCAGAACUGGGGAAUGGCUCUGAAGGGUCUCAGUGGAUGAUGGACGUCGCCAACUUUGUGCCCAGCUGGAGGCGGCUUUGCCCUUGUGGAACAGCCCUUAAUAGCAACUUUAUCCUCAGCGCACAGAGUGCGUUUGGCCUGGGUGGGGGAGAUGCUUUGUUGUGGGUAUGGAUCUCCCCAAGUCCCUUUCGGUAGAGGGCUGUUGUCAUCAGUACAGAAACUGAAUGCUGCGGAGGGUGGUGGCCUGGCCUGUGGAGCCAGGCCAUUCAAAACUAAGAAGAAGUUUCAAAGGAAAUUUCAGCUUCCUUCACAUUCCUUUCACUAUGGGAAGGGGACUGGAAUCUCAGAUCGGACCCUUCACCAUCUGUUUUAAGCCGAGUGGGCACUCUGGUAGUCUGUGCGUGUGCAUGUGCGUGUGUGUACGUACACGGGCAUCAGUAAUCCACACUGACGGUAUCUAAACUGGCCCUUCUUCCCACCCAGCCCCAUCUGCAGAGCCAUUGGCCUCUUAGACCCAAGCGCAGCAGUGCUCCUUCUCCGUACUCCCAUAAUGCCUUGCACAUGUUUCUUUUGUUGCCCGGAACACAUCCUUUGACAAUGAUUGUGUAUAGGUCUGUCUGAAUCAGUAGGCUGAGCUCCUUGAAGGUGUAACCGGUAUCUUACAUUUGUCUGCGUUCUAGCCCCCGUCACAGUGUCUGGGCGUAGGGGAGGUGCUGAAUGAGUGACUAGUGUGGGAGAACCGAAGAGGAACCAAGGAAGAAGCCAAGGUCAUCAAGCUAGAACCAUUACUGACAAGGAGACAAAAGGGUUGUGGGAACUCGUGGGGCAGGUGGAAGCCUUACCCACUGUUUGUGGGGAAAUGGUUGAAGCUGGACUUGGGUGUUAGCAAGCAGACCUGUACAUGUGCUCACUCGACAAAGCAGCAGUUUGAUCCCCCAGCAAAUGCCCUCGAGAGACUCUUGCACACAUGCACUAGGAGGUGUGUACAAGAACAUUCAUGGAUGUGUAAUAGCUUCCAACUGGGGAAAAAACAAAACAAAACCAUAUGUUUGUCAACAACAGAAGGGGUAAGUGAGUGGUGGUAGCGUAGGGCACAUGAUGGCAUACUCUACAGCGGUGAAAAUGAGGGAAGCACAGCCACCUGCACCUGCAUGGCUGCAUUUCAAAAACGAGCUGUUGCUGGCAAGAAGUCAGUCACAGAGGUGGUCGUACAGAUGAUUUCAUUUGCAUGGAGUUCCACAAAGGGGAAAUGAAAAAAUUGAGGAAAAUUGUGCAGAUGAUAGAAAGCAAACCGAGAGGGGGAUGAAUUCAUAAUUAAGGAUAACAGUUACCUCUGCUGGGGAUGGAGAGUUUAGUUUAAUUAGAGAUGGACAUACGGGGCACAGGAGCUUCUGGGGGCUGAUCAAGUUCUCAUUCUUAGGCUGUGUCACGGUACAUGGGCAGUCAUUUUAUUGCUCUUCUGUAGACUGUACAUAAGUUUGUUUGUUUUUUGGCCUCACCAGAGGCAUACGGAAGUUCCUGGGCCAGGGAUCAAAUCCGAGCCGCUGCUGUGGCAACGCCACAUCCACCACUUUGCCAGGCCAGGGUUUGAACCUAUGCCGCCACAGAGACAAUGCAAGAUCCUUAAUCUCCUGUGCCACAGUGGGAACUCCUGUCAUAUGUUUUGUACAUUCACAUUUUUAUUGAUAGUUUGAUGUAAAAAAAAAAAAAAAAACAGAAAUGAAAGAGAGUUCUGAAGCACCUCUCCUCUCAAAAAUCUUCCCAGGAAGAAACACUUCCAAAUGAUGAAUGGGGCCAUGAAAAGCAAGGGUGACUCUCUAAGAGCUCUCAGCUGCUAGGAAGUCAGGCUACUCCCCUCUCUAAGAGUUGCUGGGACGUUCCCCCCUUUUAGAAGCUCACUGUGGAAGCGGGGGUGGGCGGGGGGGAUCUCCUGAGAUUGCGCAUUGCCAACAAGCCCCCAGGCGAGCUGGUCCAGGGGCACACCCCCCGGCUCUCAUCCAUUCCAGAAGCAUCUGUUGAGUGGCUUCAACAUGCCAGGCCCUGGGGACACAGACUUGACACCCAGGCAGUACCUGAGUUUGGGAAGUAGCACCUAACAGCGGAGGCAGAAACCCUCCAGAGUGGCUUCCUUCUGCAUGAGCAGCAAGGACAGAGGAGGGAGGCACCCCUUCCUGGAGGCGGCAGGGCUCGCCUCCUUGAGGAGGUGGCGAUUGAGUGGGUCUGGAAGGAGAAACUGUGCACUUGAAGAACAGCAGUUGAAGUGAACAGAAAAGCAGAUGGGGCCACCGGCCCUGGGGGGAAGAACUAGCAUGCUCUGACAACGUUGGGGUCAGUGGGUGUUGGUGGGGCCGCUAGCCCUCUCUGACCGGCUCCAGACCUCACGGCAACCUCAGCAGGGUUCUCCGCCUGCCCUCCACCAAGCCUUUCCUGAUAACUGCCACACAAGCCGGGCUUCCUUCCUUUUGCCACUAAUGAGCCCUUCCCAAAGUGCAGUGCCCCUGCUAGGGGAGGCGGGGUGCGUUGGAGGGGCUGGGCAGAGGCUGGGGAGCCAAGGGGAGGGGUUCCAGCUCAGCCCCAGGAGCUGGGCCGAGGGGCCAGGCGAGAGGGCCACCUCCGCUGGGCAGGCAGGACAGUCCUCUCCUCCUGGGGGCUGUUGCCACUUGCUCUGGUGGCCUCCUCCUGUGUCAGGUCACAAUCCCAAGAUGUUGAAGUUAGGAAACACCUUGAAGAUUUGGGCUCAGCCUUCUCCUGGUGCACAUGGCAGAAGUAAAUCCCUGCAUGAGAGGGGUAGGGGUUGGGCCAAAAAGUUAUUGUUUGAUCCUUUUUUUUUUUUUUUUUUGCUUUUUAGGACCGCACCUGCGGCAUAUAGAGGUUCCCAGGCUAGGGGUUGAAUUGGAGCUACAGCCGCUAGCCUACACCACAGCCACAGCAACGCAGGAUCCGAGCGGCGUCUGUGAUCUACACCACAGCUCAUGGCAACGCCGGAUCCUUAACCCCCUGAACGAGGCCAGGGACCAACCUGCAUCAUCAUGGAUACUGGUUGGUUUUGUUUCCACUGAGCCAUGACGGGGCCUCCCUGUUUGAUCCUUAAUGAGGUGGGAAAAAAGGAAAUGCGACGUCCAAUCGGGUUUCAGGGUCAUCAGUUGUGAUCAUACCAGUGGGCCCUUUAGGAGGUAUUCAGACUUUGGUGAAAACUGUCUCUCAGAGCACUUUCCCAGCUCCGGCAGGUCAGGGGCUUUGGUUCCUUAGCCUCUCCUGAACCAUACCGAUGUUGUUUUUGCUGCUGCAACUUGGGCUCAGACCAUUCUCCUGGUGGGGUCAAGGCCCAUGGCCCUCCUGGGAUGGCCAGGCCUCCCCCUGCUGUUUGCAGGCCCCUGGGUACUGGCCAAGGCCUCCAUGCAGCCCCUUGCCAGGUGGCAUUGUCCUGCCAGAGUGGGCUCGUGCUGGACCCUCUGGCUCUUACCCUAGAUGUCACCCCCUCCAGGGACCGAAGGCAGCCCAGAGAGCCUUGGGCUCGAUCCCAUUACCUCCCUGUUGACUUUCGGGUGACUGUCUCAGGUGUGUCUGUGGCUGCUGCAUGUUGUGGAAAGGGGGUCUCAGGACACACCCCUGUGACUGCGUCCUCACUUCACACUCUCCCACCCCUCGCAAAUUCUUAGGCUGGGAAAGGGCUGGACUUUACUUUCCCUUUUAUCAUUAUUUCCUUCUUCCUGACUCUGGCUCUGCCUUCGUGGCAGACAAAAGGCUUCCCUUUUCCACCAUAGUUUUAACCCAGGAGCAGAGUCUUCCAAGUUCAUUUGCUGAUCGGCUCUAAGAAGAGACAGCAGAUUCUGGAAGAUCCUUCCCAAAGACUGUCACUUGCCUUGCGAGCCCUUUGUCUGUUUCAGUUUUGAAAGUCAAAAGCCAAUUGGUACUUUGGUCUUCCACGCCACAUUUUCUCUAUAGCAGAAUUAUCAUCUUUCACCCUGCCUCACCCCAUCUCCCAGCAGAUGGAGGCCUUGGGCUGACCAGGGCAAGGUCAUGUCCUUGAGAACGCACAGGAAAAAUGCACCCUAAAAUUGAACU